rnacentral:sRNA from 1 species
UGGUCCAUGUUUCUGCUCCAUAGAGAGCGAU